rnacentral:rRNA from 1 species
CCUACGGGAGGCAGCAGUGAGGAAUAUUGGUCAAUGGGCGCGAGCCUGAACCAGCCAAGUCGCGUGAGGGAGGACGGCCCUACGGGUUGUAAACCUCUUUUGCCGGUGAGCAACGGGCGUCACGUGUGGCGCCCCUGAGAGUACCCGUAGAAAAAGCAUCGGCUAACUCCGUGCCAGCAGCCGCGGUAAUACGGAGGAUGCGAGCGUUAUCCGGAUUUAUUGGGUUUAAAGGGUGCGUAGGCGGAUCGUUAAGUCAGUGGUCAAAUUGAGGGGCUCAACCCCUUCCCGCCAUUGAAACUGGCGCUCUUGAGUGGAAGAGAAGUAUGCGGAAUGCGUGGUGUAGCGGUGAAAUGCAUAGAUAUCACGCAGAACCCCGAUUGCGAAGGCAGCAUGCCGGCUUCCGACUGACGCUGAAGCACGAAAGCGUGGGGAUCGAACAGGAUUAGAUACCCGAGUAGUC